AUAGUGAGAGUGAAAUAGUGCAAAGAGUGCGAAACAGAGGAUUGUGCAAAAAAGUCUACAUUCAUGCUUUCCUUUGAUUUGACCAGAGCUGUGAACUUAAAAUCCAUUCUGCUGAAUAGUCUGGGGAUGCUCCAUUUCCAAGUAAAAACAAAAAGAGUUUGAAGGUAGAAGUGUCGUCGAUGGGUUUCUUCCAAAAGGUUCCAAGCAUGACUGGGAGGCGUGUUUCUAACCCACCGGCGGGUCUUGGAACGACACGCCCGUUAAAAGUAUACGAACAGCAGAGGAUGAAAAGAGUUUACUGUUAAUAAACAGAAGUCGCACUAAAUCGACGGUAGGAUGUAUAGGAUGAAGGUAUAUAUGAAUGAACCGUUAUAACGGAUAUUAUGACGAAUUUCGACAACAACCUUUAUGGAAAAACCCUAAAGUAUAUUAAAAUUAUCUAAAUGUCCUAUUCGCGUACAAAUUAAGCCUACAACCCGCAUAAAAACCGUCGACUUGUAUUGUACGAAUACGGAGAAAUAUGUAAACAAAUAAACCGGAUGUUACGCAAAAUUACCGGAAGUUGUAAAAAACCUGGAAAAAUUACAUCUGAACAUGUAAUAAAUUACAAUGAGACACAAAACCUAAUGAAAUUUUAAACGAAUAUGGAAAAUUCAGAGGACUUACGUGAGAAAAACUUUGAGGAGCUUGAUUCUUAAAACAAAUUUUCGCGCUCUUAAAUAAUCACAAAGAUCCUUGUUGUCAUGGUAACUAUUCGUGAUAUCGCGAGAGCAAUUUUGAAAUCUAAACCGUAAGGGCUAGUGUUUACUGAUAUAUUGGAGAACUAUAGAGGGAGAAAAUAUGAAAUCGGAGGAUUAAAAUCGACGAUCGUGGUGAAAGUGAAUGGAAAUUAUAUCGAUAAAAGGUAUGAAAAGCAAAUUAAGAAUGAAAUAUAAUCAGCGAUUGAGAAAUAUCGAAGUUAUUGUAAUGGAAUGUGACCACGUGAAAAAACAUUGGAUCAUAGCUAUAAAAUCUUUAUAGUCAAAAAAUUAUUUAAAAUUUAUAAAACAUUGCAUCAAUUGGAGAAAUUGAAUGUAAAGUCUACAUAGGAUGCAGUUAAAUCUCAUUUAACAUCGAGUAAGGCCUAACAUUUGAAUGCAUGCUAAAUAUUAUAUACAGAUUUACAUGCAUAUGCAAUUUAAAUACAUCAUUACUCAUAGCAUAAGAUCAAAUUAUUUACAAAGAUUCAACUGGUAAAUUAUAUAAUAUUCUACCUAUGAAGAAAACCUUUUAUAUAAGUUUAUUGUGUA